GCCCCGGUAGUUCAAUUGUAUAGAGCAUCGUUCUUCUAAAGCGAUAGUUGUAGGUUAGAGUCCUACCCGGGGUACCA
rnacentral:tRNA from 1 species